rnacentral:rRNA from 1 species
UCGAGACCGAAACACAUCGAGCGAUUCGGAGAACUCGUGAAGCGAGCGGCGGCGGUUGCUGCCGCGGGACGACCGUCCCGGCCGUCGCCUCGUCCCCUCCUGGGAGGGGCGCGGGGGGCACGGCCGGGGAUGGAUGAAACACAAACCGGCGCAGCUCCGCGCCAAGGGAAAAUCGAAAGGCACGGGCCCUGCAUCGGGCUCGGUGGCGUGGAGCGCCGUCGCGCUCCAUGCGGAUGGACACGACUCUCGGCAAUGGAUAUCUCGGCUCUCGCAUCGAUGAAGAGCGCAGCGAAAUGCGAUACGUGGUGCGAAUUGCAGAAUCCCGCGAACCAUCGAGUCUUUGAACGCAAGUUGCGCCCGAGGCCAGCCGGCCGAGGGCACGUCCGCCUGGGCGUCAAGCAUCGCGUCGCUCCGUGCCAACUCCGUCGCCCCGAUGGGUGCGUGUCGGCCGAGGCACGGACGCGCAGGGUGGCCCGUCGUGCCCUCCGGUGCGGCGGGCUGAAGAGUCGGUCGUCGUCUCGCUGGCUGCGGGCAACGAGGGGUGGGUGAAAGCUGUGAGCACAGCCCGUGUUGUCUCGUGCGGAGCCUGAGAGAACGACGGUGCCCCCGAGGCGAUCCCGACCCACGCGCCGAUCUCCAUGCGGCGGCUUGGAAU